rnacentral:rRNA from 1 species
CCUACGGGAGGCAGCAGUGAGGAAUAUUGGGCAAUGGAGGAGACUCUGACCCAGCCAUGCCGCGUGCAGGAAGAAUGCCCUAUGGGUUGUAAACUGCUUUUAUACAAGAAGAAACACUGSUAUGUAUACSAGCUUGACGGUACUGUAAGAAUAAGGAUCGGCUAACUCCGUGCCAGCAGCCGCGGUAAUACGGAGGRUCCAAGCGUUAUCCGGAAUCAUUGGGUUUAAAGGGUCCGCAGGCGGUCAAUUAAGUCAGAGGUGAAAUCCCGUCGCUCAACGACGGAACUGCCUUUGAUACUGGUUGACUUGARUCAUAGGGAAGUAGAUAGAAUGUGUAGUGUAGCGGUGAAAUGCAUAGAUAUUACAYAGAAUACCGAUUGCGAAGGCAGUYUACUACCWAUGUACUGACGCUGAKGGACGAAAGCGUGGGGAGCGAACAGGAUUAGAUACCCUGGUAGUCCACGCCGUAAACGAUGGAUACUAGYUGUUGGGCACUARCUCAGUGWCUAAKCGAAAGUGAUAAGUAUCCCACC